AUUGAACGCUGGCGGCAGGCCUAACACAUGCAAGUCGAACGAGUGGCGGACGGGUGAGUAAUGUCUGGGAAACUGCCUGAUGGAGGGGGAUAACUACUGGAAAAGGUAGCUAAUACCGCAUACCAUCGGAUGUGCCCAGAUGGGAUUAGCUCGUAGGUGGGGGAACGGCUCACCUAGGCGACGAUCCCUACCUGGUCUGAGAGGAUGAACAGCCACACUGGAACUGAGACACGGUCCAGACUCCUACGGGAGGCAGCAGUGGGGAAUAUUGCACAAUGGGCGCAAGCCUGAUGCAGCCAUGCCGCGUGUAUGAAGAAGGCCUUCGGGUUGUAAAGUACUUUCAGCGGGGAGGCGUUACCCGCAGAAGAAGCACCGGCUAACUCCGUGCCAGCAGCCGCGGUAAUAC
rnacentral:rRNA from 1 species